CUCUGUAGUGUGAAAUUUAAAAAGCAAAUUAUAAUAUAUAAUUCUUGUUAUGAUAUUGUAUCAAUUAGGAAUAGUUUUUUGCAAGUAACAGAAAACUUGACUGAUAGGCUUAAGUCACAUGGACAUUACCUAACAAAGAGACCAGAGAAAAGCCAGCCCCGGAUUGAGUCAACGGUUCAAUUAUGUCAUCAAAACACAAGGUCCUUCAAAUUUUCUACUCAAUCAGCUUUGGUAUGUAUUCAGUGUUUUCCCUCAAGGUUAAAGAUAGCUAACAAUGGCCAGGUGUGGUGGCUCACACCUGUAAUUCCAGCACUUUGGGAGGCCAAGGUGGGCCGAUCACCUGAGGUCAGGAGUUCGAGACCAGCCUGGCCAACAUGGUGAAACCCUGUCUCUACAAAAAAAUACAAAAAAAAUUAGCCAGGCAUGGUGGCACAUGCCUGUAAUUUCAGCUACUUGGGAGGCUGAGACAGGAGAAUCACUCGAAUCCAGGAGGCGGAGGUUGCAGUGAGCCAAGAUCACGCCGCUGCACUCCAGCCUGGGCCACAAGAGUGAGACUCUAUCUCAAAAAACAAAAAAGAUGGCUAACAACAAUGCUCCAAAGAACCUGUCUUCACACAACAGUAGGACUUCCCCAGCAUAUUCCUCACAUUUUCUUUUCCAGAACAGGAUCACAUAGCCAUCCCAGGUAAGUCACUGUCAAGGAGCAACAAGAUUGUCGUAAUUGCUUUACACCAAAAGUGACUUAUAUCCAGGGGCUGAGUGCAUUGGAAUGGAACAUAAGCAACCAACAGAGUCUACCACAGGUACGUGUGGCCCCUUCCAAAUCCAAGCAUGUAAUAGCGAUCCUAGUAUACAACUAAAUGGUGGUAACUAAAUACCUCUCCCCAUUUUGUAUUCCUCUCUUAGUCUCUUCCUGUCUUUCUCUGUUUCUGUAACACACACAUACACACAAACACACACACACACACCCCAGGACUAAUGAGCCAUGAGGCCAGAAAGCCAGAUAAUGCCAAAAGACGUGAGUUCCAAAGCAAUCCUAAGACUAUUGCCUCCCUGCAGUUAAAGUGCCUUGUCCACAAAUGUAUGUGCGGCUAUAAGCUUUCAUUUUCAUACUUUCAGUCUUGCAAACUACAAUUGAAGCUGAUGAAAAAAUAUGAUUACAGGCUUUGGCACUUGAGUGCCCCCAUGGAUUUAUCUGCAUACUAACAGGUCCUUUCCUGCAUAGAGAGGCACCACCUUUAAUGUCAAUAGAAAGAAACAAAUGCCACUAUUCAUUGUCCUCAGCUAGGAUUUGACAAAGAUGAGUGGGAAAGCAAGAGGACAAAGACAGGAAAACAACUUUAUUCUCUGUUGAGAAAUGCAAAACUGUGAAGGAGCAGGUCUAAAGGUUCCACAGAGAACCCCAAAUAUCAUUUUCUUCUAUUAAUUGCCUAUCAGCCCUAUCCAGCUCUCACUUUUACCAAACGCUGGCUAAACAGUUUCUGCAAUCUACUUCACAUCCCACAAAGAUUGUGUUGGGAAAAGUAUAAGACCUCUGGAAUAAAAAGGUCAGAACGCUGCUCCAAUCCCAAGAUCAAAGAGCUCAGGGACAAUACAUACACCCCCUCACCUCUGUCAAAUCAUCUUUUGGACACAGUGUCUCUUUCAAAAUAGGGGGCAAGAGGUCAUACUUCUGUGUUAAGCAUUGGUCCCUAUUAAGUACACAUAUAUUGCAAAUUCAUUCAAAACUGCUUUAGAGCAUACAUAUGGCAAUCUGGCAGAUCAAGGAAGCUUUCCAGACUUGUAGUCCAUAUGUAAUAAGAGGACAUAAAACAAAAUGUAAAACUGAAGUUCAAAUAAACUUUGUAGUGGAAGUAGUACUUUCUGUUCACAGCUACCAUUCUCAUCAUCAGUUAUAUCAUCAAAAGUCCCUGACUGCAUGACACCAAGCUGGAUGCUUCAUGUGACUCAGGACUGAUAUCAGCAAUGCCAGGUGGUAGAAAUAACAGGUAGUUCACCGAGCUGACCAGAGGCACACCUUUAGGAAAAUUGCUUGAACUUUAUAAGCCUCAGUUUUCUUAUCUAUAAAAUUAUAGGGAAAAGUCCAUGCUACAAGGUUGGAAUAAGACCAAGUCAAAUAAAAUGAAGAUACCCAUUUAUUAUCAUAUGUAUAAAUCAGGUUAAGCACUUCUUAGAAACAUCUUAAAUAUUUGAGUCAUUCAGUAUAAUAACUAUUAACUAUAUGGGUGCUGAAAAGCCAAGAGGAGAGCCUUCAUAUGACACAUUUUUGUGCCAAUAUAUGUUUUUGCUAGUGUAGUACUUUUUAUCCAGAUUGUCUUUAUACCCCCAUUAGAUUUGUUCAUUAUAAAUUUGGGGCCAGGCACAGUGGCUCACACCUGCAAUCCCAGCACUUUGGGAGUUCAAGGCGGGUGGAUCACGAGGUCAGGGAUCCAAGACCAGCCUGGCCAAGAUGGUGAAACCUGUCUCUACUAAAAAUACAAAAAUUAGCCAGGCAUGGUGGUGCGCGCCUGUAAUCCCAGCUACUCAGGAGGCUGAGGCAGAGAAUUGCUUGAACCCGGGAGGCAGAGGUUGCAGUGAGCCGAGAUAGCACCACUGUACUCUAGCCUGGGAGACAGAGCAAGACUGCAAAUCAAAAAAAAAAAAAAAAAUUGGGACAUUUUACAUAUUUAUUUGGAAAAACUGAAGAAUGAAAAUGACAUAAAAUCCCAUUGACAGUCUGUCAGCCAAGUGUAAUUAGAAAUUUUUCAUACUAAGCUGCAUAUUCAAAAUAAAUCUCUAAAAUUUAGUCAAAUGCUUGGUUGAAACAGGAAUUUAAAU
rnacentral:lncRNA from 10 species